rnacentral:rRNA from 1 species
UACGAAGGGGGCUAGCGUUGUUCGGAAUCACUGGGCGUAAAGGGCGCGUAGGCGGCCGAUCAAGUCGGGGGUGAAAGCCUGUGGCUUAACCACAGAAUGGCCUCGAUACUGUUUGGCUUGAGACCGGAAGAGGUUAGUGGAACUGCGAGUGUAGAGGUGAAAUUCGUAGAUAUUCGCAAGAACACCAGUGGCGAAGGCGGCUCACUGGCCCGGUACUGACGCUGAGGCGCGAAAGCUAGGGGAGCAAACGGG